rnacentral:rRNA from 1 species
UCAAGCUACUAAGGGCAUACGGUGGAUGCCUAGGCGCCAAGAGCCGAAGAAGGACGCGGUAAGCUGCGAAAAGCCACGGGGAACUGCAAGCAAGUAUUGAUCCGUGGAUAUCCGAAUGGGGAAACCCGGCCAUCGUCAUGGAUGGUCACCCGCAAGGGAGGGAACCUGGGGAACUGAAACAUCUAAGUACCCGGAGGAAGAGAAAUCAAACGAGAUGCCCACAGUAGCGGCGAGCGAAGAGGGCAGAGCCCAAACCGAGAAGCUCCGGCUUUUCGGGGUUGAGGACCGGCAGAAUCGAAGUCAGGCCUAGUCGAAUUACCUGGAAAGGUAAGCGAGAGAGGGUAAAAGCCCCGUAGACGAAAGGCAGAGCAGAGAGGCCGAGAUCCAGAGUACCACGAAGCACGAGGAAUUUUGUGGGAAGCAGGGGGGACCACCCUCCAAGGCUAAAAACUACUUGGCGACCGAUAGCGCAUAGUACCGUGAGGGAAAGGUGAAAAGAACCCCGGGAGGGGAGUGAAAUAGUACCUGAAACCGUAUGUCUACAAGCAGUCGAAGCGAAAGCGACGGCGUGCCUAUUGAAGAAUGAACCAACGAGUUAUCUGCACUAGCGAGGUUAAGUGGAAGACACGGAGCCGCAGCGAAAGCGAGUCUUAAGAGGGCGCUAGUUAGUGUAGGUAGACCCGAAACCGCAGUGAUCUACCCAUGUCCAGGUUGAAGCGCAGGUAAAAUUGCGUGGAGGACCGAACCGGUGAGCGUUGAAAAGCUUUCGGAUGAGAUGUGGGUAGGGGUGAAAUUCCAAUCGAACGCGGAGAUAGCUGGUUCUCCCCGAAAUAGCUUUAGGGCUAGCCUGAGGUAGUAAGUAUAGGCGGUAGAGCACUGAUCGGGCUAGGGGCCGUAAAGGUUACCGAACCCUGUCAAACUCCGAAUGGAUAUACUGUAGAGCCUUGGAGUCAGACUACGAGUGAUAAGAUCCGUGGUCAAAAGGGAAACAGCCCAGACCACCAGCUAAGGUCCCCAAUGUCGUACUAAGUGGAAAAGGAUGUGGGGUUUCAUAAACAACCAGGAUGUUGGCUCAGAAGCAGCCACCAUUUAAAGAGUGCGUAAUAGCUCACUGGUCGAGAGACCCUGCGCCGAAGAUUCCCGGGGCUAAAGUACGAAACCGAAGCUGUGGCUGUAUACGUAAAGUAUACGGGGUAGGGGAGCGUUCCCAUAGGGUAGAAGUCGAACUGGAAGGUUCGGUGGACUUGUGGGAAGUGAGAAUGUUGGUAUGAGUAGCGAAAAGAAAGGUGAGAAUCCUUUCCACCGAAAGCAUAAGGAUUCCUGAGCAACGAUCGUCGUCUCAGGGUAAGUCGGGACCUAAUCCGAGGCAGAGAGCGUAGGAGAUGGACAACUGGUUGAUAUUCCAGUACCGGUAGUAAUUGUUUGAGCAAUGGAGUGACACAGAAGGGCAGGCAAGCAUGCGAAUGGAAGAGCAUGUGUAAGCGUGUAGGGUGGUGCAUAGGCAAAUCCGUGCACUGAAAGCCUGAGGCGUGAUGCGGAGUGAGCAGAGAUGCGAGCGAAGUUGUUGACCCCACACUGUCGAGAAAAGCUUCUAGUGAGAGAGCUACCGCCCGUACCGUAAACCGACACAGGUAUGCGGGGAGAGAAUCCUAAGGUGCGCGGGAGAACCCUCGUUAAGGAACUCGGCAAAAUGUACCCGUAACUUCGGGAUAAGGGUAGCCACUGUUGUGAAGUCCCAUGCGGAUGGAGCAUAGAGUGGUCGCAGAGAAGAGGCCCAAGCGACUGUUUACCAUAAACACAGGUGCCUGCUAAAGCGAAAGCUGACGUAUAGGUGCUGACACCUGCCCAGUGCCGGAAGGUUAAGGAAGGAUGUUCGGAUUAGUCCAAAGCAUUCGACUGAAGCCCCGGUGAACGGCGGCCGUAACUAUAACGGUCCUAAGGUAGCGAAAUUCCUUGUCAGGUAAGUUCUGACCCGCAUGAAAGGUGUAACGAUUUGGGCACUGUCUCAACGAGGGACCCGGUGAAAUUGAAAUACCUGUGAAGAUGCAGGUUACCCGCGACUGGACAGAAAGACCCCAUGGAGCUUUACUGUAACCUGACAUUGGGUUUUGAUACAUUACGUACAGGAUAGGUGGGAGGCUUGGAAAGUUGGACGCUAGUCUGACUGGAGCCGACGUUGGGAUACCACCCUUGAUGUAUUGAAAUUCUAACCGCGAGAGUAACGAAAUCCGGGACAGUGUCAGGCGGGCAGUUUGACUGGGGCGGUCGCCUC